AUGAACGCUGGCGGCGUGCCUAAUCCCUGCCAGUCGAGCGAACAGACGAGGAGCUUGCUCCUCUGACGUUAGCGGCGGACGGGUGAGUAACACGUGGAUAACCUACCUAUAAGACUGGGAUAACUUCGGGAAACCGGAGCUAAUACCGGAUAACAUGUUGAACCGCAUGGUUCAACAGUGAAAGACGGUCUUGCUGUCACUUAUAGAUGGAUCCGCGCCGCAUUAGCUAGUUGGUAAGGUAACGGCUUACCAAGGCAACGAUGCGUAGCCGACCUGAGAGGGUGAUCGGCCACACUGGAACUGAGACACGGUCCAGACUCCUACGGGAGGCAGCAGUAGGGACUCUUCCGCAAUGGGCGAAAGCCUGACGGAGCAACGCCGCGUGAGUGAAGAAGGUCUUCGGAUCGUAAAACUCUGUUAUUAGGGAAGAACAAAUGUGUAAGUAACUAUGCACGUCUUGACGGUACCUAAUCAGAAAGCCACGGCUAACUACGUG
rnacentral:rRNA from 1 species